GACGAACGCUGGCGGCGUGCUUAACACAUGCAAGUCGAGCGGUAAGGCCCUCGGGUACGACGAGCGGCGAACGGGUGAGUAACACGUGGGUGACCUGCCUCUAGCUCUGGGAGUAAGCCUGGGAAACGUAGGGUCGUAAUACCGGAUAUGACUCCACGGCGCAUGUUGUGGGGUGGAAAGCCUUGUGUGGCUAGAGAUGGGCCCGCGG
rnacentral:rRNA from 1 species